UACGAAGGGGGCUAGCGUUGUUCGGAAUCACUGGGCGUAAAGCGCACGUAGGCGGAUUUUUAAGUCAGGGGUGAAAUCCCGAGGCUCAACCUUGGAACUGCCUUUGAUACUGGAGAUCUUGAGUCCGGAAGAGGUAAGUGGAACUGCGAGUGUAGAGGUGAAAUUCGUAGAUAUUCGCAAGAACACCAGUGGCGAAGGCGGCUUACUGGUCCGGAACUGACGCUGAGGUGCGAAAGCGUGGGGAGCAAACAGG
rnacentral:rRNA from 1 species